AGUGAAAUAAUUGGGUCAAAUGGUGGUUCCAUUAUAAGUUUUCUGAGGAAUCUCGAUACUGCUUUCCAGAGUGAUUGUACCAGUUUUCAGUCCCUCCAGCAAU
rnacentral:pre_miRNA from 1 species